UUUCACUCUCUUUCAUCUCUUCUCGAUCUGCUCCGAAGAAGAACUUCAGCUCUGAAGAAAUCCAACCAGUAGUCACUUUUCUGCAAAUUUAGGAGGUGAAAGAGAAGUGCAAGGAAAUAGAAGAUGAUGAAUCAUAAAAAUUAAGUGAUCCCAUCUUAUUUUGUUGUUUUUCCAUUCAUUAUUAUUAGCUUUUUUAUCAUGAGUUCUGUAAUUCCAAUUUGGAAAAUCAGAUUGGAUGUAUGUGAUUCAUUUUACAGAGAAACUUUAAAGGGGACACUGCUAACAUAAGAAGAUUUAGUGGCGCUAGACUUGACAGAUAAAUUUGGUGCAUUUUAAACUCUCAAAGAACUUGUAGUGGUCCUACAUGACUGCCUUGCAGACAUCGAUUGGGACUCUUGUUUCCGAAAUUGCAAAAGCAUUAAAGGACCAAUCUUCUACCUCAAACUUGAAGAUCGAGGCUCUCAUCUUUACAGGAUUUGUUAUCUUUUCACAUUCACCAUCUGUUUUCCAUCCUUCUAUCAAGGUAUACUCUUAAUGUAUGGGAUAUUGGUGGGAAGAAAACCAUUAGGUCUUUUUGGAGGGAACAAACUGAUGGUUUUGUGUCUGUAGACAGAUAAUAAUCUUUUGAAGGAAGAGGAUAUCUGACAUGGAAAUGUGCAGGAAGGGUUCUGAUCUUCUACAGUAUCUUGUUCGGAUUGAUGAGGCAUUUAGGCAUUUCUGAUGCAGGAAGCGUUUGUUGCCGACAAGCAAAAUAGCACUCAAAUGCUUCAGCCACUAAUUGUAGUUAACAGAUGGUACACCGAUACACCAUUAACUGUAUAUGAACAUCUAAUUUCUAGUUUGUUUUUGGGAACGAGCUUGAAUCUAAUUUUUGACUGUGUGAAGUUGAUUUAAUGAUAAUUUUU